GUAGGGAAUAUUGGGCAAUGGUCGGAAGACUGACCCAACCAUGCCGCGUGCAGGAAGACGGCCCUCUGGGUUGUAAACUGCUUUUAUCUGGGAAGAAAAAGGCCAUGCGUGGCAAAUUGCCGGUACCAGAUGAAUAAGCACCGGCUAACUCCGUGCCAGCAGCCGCGGUAAUACGGAGGGUGCGAGCGUUGUCCGGAUUUAUUGGGUUUAAAGGGUGCGUAGGCGGCUGAUUAAGUCAGCGGUGAAAGACUUCGGCUUAACCGGAGCAGUGCCGUUGAUACUGGUUGGCUUGAGUGUCGGAGGGGUACAUGGAAUUGAUGGUGUAGCGGUGAAAUGCAUAGAUACCAUCAGGAACACCGAUAGCGAAGGCAUUGUACUGGCCGACAACUGACGCUGAUGCACGAAAGUGUGGGGAUCGAACAGGAUUAGAAACCCCGGUAGUCC
rnacentral:rRNA from 1 species